rnacentral:rRNA from 1 species
GGACUACCCGGGUAUCUAAUCCUGUUUGCUCCCCACGCUAUCGCGCCUGAGCGUCGGUAAUGGGCCAGUGAGCCGCCUUCGCCACUGGUGUUCUUCCGAAUAUCUACGAAUUUCACCUCUACACUCGGAAUUCCACUCACCUCUCCCAUACCCAAGUCCUACAGUCUCAAAGGCAGUUCCAGAGUUGAGCUCUGGGCUUUCACCCCUGACUUGAAGGACCGCCUGCGCGCGCUUUACGCCCAGUAAAUCCGAACAACGCUAGCCCCCUUCGUAUUACCGCGGCUGCUGGCAC